rnacentral:rRNA from 1 species
CCUACGGGUGGCAGCAGUGAGGAAUUUUCCGCAAUGGACGCAAGUCUGACGGAGCAACGCCGCGUGCAGGAGGACGCUUUUCGGAGUGUAAACUGCUUUUCUGUGGGACGAGUUUGGACGGUACCACAGGAAGAAGCCCCGGCUAACUACGUGCCAGCAGCCGCGGUAAUACGUAGGGGGCGAGCGUUGUCCGGAGUUACUGGGCGUAAAGGGCAUGCAGGCGGUCGGACGCGUUUCCAGUGACAGCGGGUGGCUUCACUACCCGAGGAUUGGAAAGACGGUUGGACUUGAGGACUCGAGAGGGACACGGAAUUCCGGGUGGAGUGGUGAAAUGCGUAGAGAUCCGGAGGAACAUCAAAGGCGAAGGCAGUGUCCUGGCGAGUGACUGACGCUGAGGUGCGAAAGCCAGGGGAGCGAACGGGAUUAGAUACCCGUGUAGUC